GAUGAACGCUGGCGGCGUGCCUAAUACAUGCAAGUCGAGCGAACAGAUGAGGAGCUUGCUCCUCUGACGUUAGCGGCGGACGGGUGAGUCACACGUGGAUAACCUACCUAUAAGACUGGGAUAACUUCGGGAAACCGGCGCUAAUACCGGAUAAUAUAUUGAACCGUAUGGUUCAAUAGUGAAAGACGGUUUUGCUGUCACUUAUAGCUGGAUCCGCGCCGCAUUAGCUAGUUGGUAAGGUAACGGCUUACCAAGGCAACGAUGCGUAGCCGACCUGAGAGGGUGAUCGGCCACACGGGAACUGAGACACGGUCCAGACUCCUACGGGAGGGAGCAGUAGGGAAUCUGCCGCAAUGGGCGAAAGCUUGGCGGAGCAACGCCGCGUGAGUGAUGAAGGUCUUCGGAUCGUAAAACUCUGUUAUUAGGGAAGAACAAAUGUGUAAGUAACUAUGCACGUCUUGACGGUACCGAAUCAGAAAGCCACGGCUAACUACGUG
rnacentral:rRNA from 1 species